rnacentral:rRNA from 1 species
ACGAACGCUGGCGGCAUGCCUAACACCUGCAAGUCGAACGAGACCUUCGGGUCUAGUGGCGCACGGGUGCGUAACGCGUGGGAACCUGCCCUUAGGUUCGGAAUAACUCCCCGAAAGGGGUGCUAAUACCGGAUAAUGUCUUCGGACCAAAGAUUUAUCGCCUUUGGAUGGGCCCGCGUUGGAUUAGCUAGUUGGUAGGGUAAAAGCCUACCAAGGCGACGAUCCAUAGCUGGUCUGAGAGGAGGAUCAGCCACACUGGGACUGAGACACGGCCCAGACUCCUACGGGAGGCAGCAGUGGGGAAUAUUGGACAAUGGGCGAAAGCCUGAUCCAGCAAUGCCGCGUGAGUGAUGAAGGCCUUAGGGUUGUAAAGCUCUUUUACCCGGGAUGAUAAUGACAGUACCGGGAGAAUAAGCUCCGGCUAACUCCGUG